CGCAUCUGUGCAUGCAGCAUAUCAAUAAGCGGAGGAAAAGAAACUAACAAGGAUUCCCUCAGUAACGGCGAGUGAAGCGGGAAGAGCUCAAAUUUGAAAUCUUGAAAGGUCACCUUUCACGAAUUGUAGUUUAAAGAAGUGUUUUCUGUUACGAUCGUAAUAUAAGUUCUUUGGAAUAGGACAUCACAGAGGGUGAGAAUCCCGUCCUAUGAUUGCGAUUUGUAGCUUUGUGAUACACUUUCAAAGAGUCGGGUUGUUUGGGAAUGCAGCCCAAAACGGGAGGUAAAUUUCUUCUAAGGCUAAAUAUUGGCGAGAGACCGAUAGCGAACAAGUACCGUGAGGGAAAGAUGAAAAGAACUUUGAAAAGAGAGUUAAAUAGUACGUGAAAUUGUCAAAAGGGAAGCGUUUAACACCAGUGUUGUUUUCUGAAAAUCAACCUCUGUUAGCUUUAUGCAUGUUUGUUUAGACCUAAUCAGCUAUCUUGCAUGUUCUAUUGUUUGCAGUGGUGCACUUUUCAGUUUACAGGUCAACAUCAGUUUUUUUUACCGUAAAAGAAGUUAAAGAAAGGUAGCUCAUGGCUCCGGUCGUGAGUGUUAUAGUCUUUUUCCUAUGCGGUAGGAGAGACUGAGGUCUGCAGUGUAGGCUAUUUGGCUAGAUACUCAGGUGCUAUGUGAUACCAUUUCAUAAACAACUUGUUGAUUAUGUUUUGUCUAUUGCAUACUCGCUUGUACUAUCAUACCUACGCUUAGGAUGUUGACGAUCAGCUGAGCGCG
rnacentral:rRNA from 1 species